rnacentral:rRNA from 1 species
CCCUUAGAUGUUCUGGGCUGCACGCGCGCUACACUGAUGCACUCAACGAGUUUACGACCUUGUCCGAGAGGAUUGGGUAAUCUUUUUAAAAUGCAUCGUGAUGGGGAUAGAUUAUUGCAAUUAUUAAUCUUCAACGAGGAAUGCCUAGUAAGCGCAAGUCAUCAGCUUGCGUUGAUUACGUCCCUGCCCUUUGUACACACCGCCCGUCGCUCCUACCGAUUGAAUGGUCCGGUGAAGCGUUCGGACCGUGGCCUUUGGACGGUUCGCCGUCUGUUGGCUGCGGGAAGUUCGUUAAACCUUAUCAUUUAGAGGAAGGAGAAGUCGUAACA